UGGUAGAAGGCCAGUUAAUCCAGAAGGGGUGCAGUAUUAUAAUAACUUGAUCAAUGAACUCAAGAAAUAUGGAAUUGAACCUCAUGUCACUCUUCUUCACUUUGACCUCCCCCAAUCUUUGGAAGAUGAAUAUUCUGGACUCUUGAGCCCAAAGAUUGUAGAGGACUUCACUGCUUAUGCUGAUGUGUGCUUUAGAGAGUUUGGGGAUAGAGUGAAAUACUGGAUCACUGUCAAUGAGCCAAACAUUGAACCCAUCCUUGGCCAUGAUCUGGGAAUAUUUCCACCAAAUCACUGCUCUUCCUCCUUGGCCUCUUCCCUUGGCCUCAAUUGCAGCAAAGGGAAUUCAUCUGUUGAACCAUAUGUAGUUGGUCAUAACCUUUUGCUUUCCCAUGCAUCAGCAGU